rnacentral:rRNA from 1 species
GUAGGUGGCAAGCGUUGUCCGGAAUUAUUGGGCGUAAAGCGCGCGCAGGCGGUUCUUUAAGUCUGAUGUGAAAGCCCACGGCUCAACCGUGGAGGGUCAUUGGAAACUGGAGAACUUGAGUACAGAAGAGGAAAGCGGAAUUCCACGUGUAGCGGUGAAAUGCGUAGAGAUGUGGAGGAACACCAGUGGCGAAGGCGGCUUUCUGGUCUGUAACUGACGCUGAGGCGCGAAAGCGUGGGGGAGCAAACAGGAUUAGAUACCCUGGUAGUCCACGCCGUAAACGAUGAGUGCUAAGUGUUAGGGGGUCUCCGCCCCCCCCUUAGUGCUGCAGCUAACGCAUUAAGCACUCCGCCUGGGGAGUACGGCCGCAAGGCUG